AUUGAACGCUGGCGGCAGGCCUAACACAUGCAAGUCGAGCGAGCGGCGGACGGGUGAGUAAUGUAUGGGGAUCUGCCUGAUAGAGGGGGAUAACUACUGGAAACGGUGGCUAAUACCGCAUACUAUCCGAUGAACCCAUGUGGGAUUAGCUAGUAGUUGGGGUAAAGGCUCACCUGGGCGACGAUCUCUAGCUGGACUGAGAGGAUGAUCAGCCACACUGGGACUGAGACACGGCCCAGACUCCUACGGGAGGCAGCAGUGGGGAAUAUUGCACAAGUGGCGGAAGCCUGAUGCAGCCAUGCCGCGUGUAUGAAGAAGGCCUUCGGGUUGUAAAAUACUUUCAUCGGGGAGGCGUUACCCACAGAAGAAGCACCGGCUAACUCCGUGCCAGCAGCCGCGGUAAUAC
rnacentral:rRNA from 1 species